rnacentral:rRNA from 1 species
CGCAUCUGUGCAUGCAGCAUAUCAAUAAGCGGAGGAAAAGAAACUAACGAGGAUUCCCCUAGUAACGGCGAGUGAAGCGGGAAGAGCUCAAAUUUGAAAUCUUAAAGGGUUUCCCUUUACGAAUUGUAGUUUAAAGAAGUGUUUUCUGUUGAGGUCUUGGUAAAUGUUCUUUGGAAUAGGACAUCAUAGAGGGUGAGAAUCCCGUAUUUGACCUUUACUUUCAACUUUGUGAUACACUUUCAAAGAGUCGGAUUGUUUGGGAAUGCAGUCCAAAAUGGGUGGUAAAUUUCAUCUAAAGCUAAAUAUUGGCGAGAGACCGAUAGCGAACAAGUACCGUGAGGGAAAGAUGAAAAGAACUUUGAAAAGAGAGUUAAACAGUACGUGAAAUUGUCAAAAGGGAAGCGUUUGACACCAGUGUUGUUUUUCUGAAAAUCAAUUAAAGAACUGUUUAUGCUAAGCUUGUUUAGACUUUAUCAGCUAUCUGUUUAGUUUUAGGCUUUUCUUUAAUGCACUUUUCAGUUAACAAGUCAACAUCAAUUUCUUUUGCUGUAAAAAAGCUUGAGGAAGGUGGCUUGAGAUUCGUCUUAAGUGUUUAUAGCCUCUUGCCUAUGCAGUCGGAGAGAUUGAGGUCUGCAGCGUAGAUCCUUCGGGGCUAAAUGCAUUUGUGCUAAGUUAUAGCAUUUUAUAGACAACUUGUUGACUAUGAUUUGUCUUGUAGCUUACUCGCUUAUGUUAUUUUACCUACGCUUAGGAUGUUGAACGCGCACAGAGUCUC